rnacentral:rRNA from 1 species
GUGGGGAAUAUUGCACAAUGGGGGAAACCCUGAUGCAGCGACGCCGCGUGGAGGAAGAAGGUCUUCGGAUUGUAAACUCCUGUUGUUGGGGAAGAUAAUGACGGUACCCAACAAGGAAGUGACGGCUAACUACGUGCCAGCAGCCGCGGUAAAACGUAGGUCACAAGCGUUGUCCGGAAUUACUGGGUGUAAAGGGAGCGCAGGCGGGAAGACAAGUUGGAAGUGAAAUCUAUGGGCUCAACCCAUAAACUGCUUUCAAAACUGUUUUUCUUGAGUAGUGCAGAGGUAGGCGGAAUUCCCGGUGUAGCGGUGGAAUGCGUAGAUAUCGGGAGGAACACCAGUGGCGAAGGCGGCCUACUGGGCACCAACUGACGCUGAGGCUCGAAAGUGUGGGUAGCAAACAGGAUUAGAAACCCUAGUAGUCC